AAUUUUUUUUUUUUUUUUCCCUUCAUUUUGGGGGGGGGGUUUUUUUUUUUUUUCCCUUCAUCUUUCAUCAUUUUGGGGGAUCUCUGCUCCUCAUCUCAAAACUCAGGAAUUCUGGGGGGAAUUUCUGCCCCUCUCCUCAAAACUCAGGAAUUUUGGGGGGAAUUUCUGCCCCUCUUCUUGAAACUCAGGAUUUUUUUUGGGAAUCUCAGCUCAUCCCUUGGAAACUCAGGAAUUUUGGGGGAUCUCUGCCUUUCCCCUCAAAACUCAGGGAUUUUUAUCUCAAAACAGGAUUUUUGGGUGGAAUUUCUGCCCCUCUCCUUGAAACUCAGGAAUUUUUUUGGGAAUCUCAGCUCGUCCCUUCAAAACUCAGGAAUUUUGGGGGAUCACCCCAAAGUGACAACAAACCUUUCCCUGGGUGUUUGUCCCAGUUUUUGGGGAUGAGCCACAAUCAGGGAAUGGGGUGGAUGGAUUCACCCCAAAAUGAACAAACAAACAAACAAACAAACCCUUCCCCGCCCCUUUCCUGCCCUCCCUGGGUGUUUGUCCCAGUUUUUUUGGGGAUUAGCCCCACAGUCAGGGAAUGGGGUGGAUUCACCCCAAAAUGAACAAACAAACAAACAAACAAACCCUUCCCUGCCCCUUUCCUGCCCUCCCUGGGUGUUUUUCCCAGUUUUUUUUUGGGGAUUAGCCCCACAGUCAGGGAAUGGGGUGGAUUCACCCCAAAAUGAACAAACAAACCCUUUCCUGCCCUCCCUGGGUGUUUUCCCCUCCCUUGGCACCGCUGUCACCACAGCUCGGUCCCAGCCAGACCCAGACCCCGGCUGGGGCCAGCACAGGCGCUGGAAUUUUCAUUCAGGGGAUGCUCACGUUUCUGGCAGGUUUGGGAUGAAAGGAAUCGGCUCCAGGGACACCAGGGAGUGGGAAAAAGUGAUGCAGCCGGGCCUCAGGCGGGGUUUUGGGGAAGGGUGAGAGCGAGGAGAGGAGCUGGUGGACCUGAAAUGUUAAUUCCUUCCAGCUGUUGUCAGUCUGGCAGGUUCUCAAAGGAAGUUUAAUAGACUGCAGUCGUCUCCCCUCGGCCCCGUCCCCCAUCCUGCCAGAACCUGGGAUUACAUGAGCUGCUCUGCCUUCCAAAAACCCGGGUUUAUUUUAUUUUAUUUUAUUUUAAUUUUUUUU
rnacentral:lncRNA from 1 species